UGAGGAAUUUUGCGCAAUGGGAGCAGUCCUGACGUAGCAACGCCGCGUGGGUGAAGAAGGCCUUCGGGUCGUAAAGCCCUGUCAGGUGGGAGGAAGGGUCCUAUCAGGAAAGGGUUGGGAUUUGACGGUACCACCAGAGGAAGCACGGGUUACCUCCGUGCCAGCGGCCGCGGUAAUACGGGGGGUGCGGCGGUUAUUCGGAAUUACGGGGCGUAAAGCGCGUGUGGGCGGGGGAGCAAGUCUGAUGUGAAAGCCCCGGGCUUAACCCGGGAAGUGCAUUGGAAACUGUUGUUCUUGAGUACUGGAGAGGAAGGGGGAAUUCCCGGUGUAGAGGUGAAAUUCGUAGAGAUCGGGAGGAAUACCAGUGGCGAAGGCGCCCUUCUGGACGGUUACCGACGCUGAGACGCGAAAGCGUGGGGAGCAAACAG
rnacentral:rRNA from 1 species